rnacentral:rRNA from 1 species
ACGCACGCUGGCGGCGUGCCUAAUACAUGCAAGUUGAGCGCUGAAGGUUGGUACUUGUACCAACUGGAUGAGCAGCGAACGGGUGAGUAACGCGUGGGGAAUCUGCCUUUGAGCGGGGGACAACAUUUGGAAACGAAUGCUAAUACCGCAUAAAAACUUUAAACACAAGUUUUAAGUUUGAAAGAUGCAAUUGCAUCACUCAAAGAUGAUCCCGCGUUGUAUUAGCUAGUUGGUGAGGUAAAGGCUCACCAAGGCGAUGAUACAUAGCCGACCUGAGAGGGUGAUCGGCCACAUUGGGACUGAGACACGGCCCAAACUCCUACGGGAGGCAGCAGUAGGGAAUCUUCGGCAAUGGACGAAAGUCUGACCGAGCAACGCCGCGUGAGUGAAGAAGGUUUUCGGAUCGUAAAACUCUGUUGGUAGAGAAGAACGUUGGUGAGAGUGGAAAGCUCAUCAAGUGACGGUAACUACCCAGAAAGGGACGGCUAACUACGU